rnacentral:rRNA from 2 species
CAGGCUUAACACAUGCAAGUCGAGGGGCAGCAUGGUCUUAGCUUGCUAAGGCCGAUGGCGACCGGCGCACGGGUGAGUAACACGUAUCCAACCUGCCGUCUACUCUUGGACAGCCUUCUGAAAGGAAGAUUAAUACAAGAUGGCAUCAUGAGUCCGCAUGUUCACAUGAUUAAAGGUAUUCCGGUAGACGAUGGGGAUGCGUUCCAUUAGAUAGUAGGCGGGGUAACGGCCCACCUAGUCUUCGAUGGAUAGGGGUUCUGAGAGGAAGGUCCCCCACAUUGGAACUGAGACACGGUCCAAACUCCUACGGGAGGCAGCAGUGAGGAAUAUUGGUCAAUGGGCGAGAGCCUGAACCAGCCAAGUAGCGUGAAGGAUGACUGCCCUAUGGGUUGUAAACUUCUUUUAUAAAGGAAUAAAGUCGGGUAUGGAUACCCGUUUGCAUGUACUUUAUGAAUAAGGAUCGGCUAACUCCGUGCCAGCAGCCGCGGUAAUACGGAGGAUCCGAGCGUUAUCCGGAUUUAUUGGGUUUAAAGGGAGCGUAGAUGGAUGUUUAAGUCAGUUGUGAAAGUUUGCGGCUCAACCGUAAAAUUGCAGUUGAUACUGGAUAUCUUGAGUGCAGUUGAGGCAGGCGGAAUUCGUGGUGUAGCGGUGAAAUGCUUAGAUAUCACGAAGAACUCCGAUUGCGAAGGCAGCCUGCUAAGCUGCAACUGACAUUGAGGCUCGAAAGUGUGGGUAUCAAACAGGAUUAGAUACCCUGGUAGUCCACACGGUAAACGAUGAAUACUCGCUGUUUGCGAUAUACUGCAAGCGGCCAAGCGAAAGCGUUAAGUAUUCCACCUGGGGAGUACGCCGGCAACGGUGAAACUCAAAGGAAUUGACGGGGGCCCGCACAAGCGGAGGAACAUGUGGUUUAAUUCGAUGAUACGCGAGGAACCUUACCCGGGCUUAAAUUGCAGAUGAAUUACGGUGAAAGCCGUAAGCCGCAAGGCAUCUGUGAAGGUGCUGCAUGGUUGUCGUCAGCUCGUGCCGUGAGGUGUCGGCUUAAGUGCCAUAACGAGCGCAACCCUUGUUGUCAGUUACUAACAGGUUCCGCUGAGGACUCUGACAAGACUGCCAUCGUAAGAUGUGAGGAAGGUGGGGAUGACGUCAAAUCAGCACGGCCCUUACGUCCGGGGCUACACACGUGUUACAAUGGGGGGUACAGAGGGCCGCUACCACGCGAGUGGAUGCCAAUCCCCAAAACCUCUCUCAGUUCGGACUGGAGUCUGCAACCCGACUCCACGAAGCUGGAUUCGCUAGUAAUCGCGCAUCAGCCACGGCGCGGUGAAUACGUUCCCGGGCCUUGUACACACCGCCCGUCAAGCCAUGGGAGCCGGGGGUACCUGAAGUGCGUAACCGCGAGGAGCGCCCUAGGGUAAAACUGGUGACUGGGGC